CCUACGGGAGGCAGCAGUGAGGAAUAUUGGUCAAUGGACGAGAGUCUGAACCAGCCAAGUAGCGUGAAGGAUGAAUGCCCUAUGGGUUGUAAACUUCUUUUAUAUGGGAAUAAAACGUUCCACGUGUGGGAUUUUGUAUGUACCAUAUGAAUAAGGAUCGGCUAACUCCGUUCCAGCAGCCGCGGUAAUACGGAGGAUCCGAGCGUUAUCCGGAUUUAUUGGGUUUAAAGGGAGCGUAGGUGGAUUGGUAAGUCAGUUGUGAAAGUUUGCGGCUCAACCGUAAAAUUGCAGUUGAAACUGGCAGUCUUGAGUACAGGAGAGGUGGGCGGAAUGCGUGGUGUAGCGGUGAAAUGCUUAGAUAUCACGAAGAACUCCGAUUGCGAAGGCAGUUCACUGGACUGCAACUGACACUGAGGCUCGAAAGUGUGGGUAUCAAACAGGAUUAGAUACCCUGGUAGUC
rnacentral:rRNA from 1 species